UACGGAGGAUGCGAGCGUUAUCCGGAUUUAUUGGGUUUAAAGGGUGCGUAGGCGGACGAUUAAGUCAGCUGUGAAAUGCCCGCGCUUAACGCGGGAAGUGCAGUUGAUACUGGUUGUCUGGAGUGCCGUUGCCGUGGGGGGAAUGUGUAGUGUAGCGGUGAAAUGCAUAGAUAUUACACAGAACGCCGAUUGUGAAGACACCUCACGAAGCGGUAACUGACGCUGAGGCACGAAAGCGUGGGGAU
rnacentral:rRNA from 1 species